rnacentral:rRNA from 1 species
UACGUAGGCAGCGAGCGUUGUUCGGAAUUACUGGGCGUAAAGAGUGUGUAGGCGGUGCUCUAAGUUCGGUGUGAAAUCUCCUGGCUCAACUGGGAGGGUGCGCCGGAAACUGGAGUGCUUGAGCGUGGGAGAGGAAAGCGGAAUUCCUGGUGUAGCGGUGAAAUGCGUAGAUAUCAGGAGGAACACCUGUGGUGUAGACGGCUUUCUGGACCAUAGCUGACGCUGAGAUACGAAAGCGUGGGUAGCAAACAGG